rnacentral:misc_RNA from 1 species
GUGGGAGUGAGCCUGCUCGCGAUGACGGAGUGUCAGUCGGCAUUAUUGGUGCCUGACACUCCGCUAUCGCGAGCAAGCUCGCUCCCAC